rnacentral:sRNA from 15 species
CUUCAAAACAAUCAAUUGAAAAUAUAAAGAACUGAUGAGAAAAUGAAACAUAUCGAUACCAAAAAUUUGUGAAUUUGUGAGCCCCUUAAAACGAAAAGUAAACGUAUUGGCUGAAAAUGUAAUCUGCAAAAGUAAGUGAAAAGCGGAGCCUGGCUAAAAGAGACAAAGAAAGUCAAAAAAGUCCACGUAAAAACAGGAGGCGAAAAAUACCCAAAUCCACACAAUACUCUUUCAGAAAAAAAAGAUCCCAAUGCAUCAAAAAAUCACCCCUACCUUAUAUUCAAAAAUCCAAAGAACAACUUAUUGAAACCAACAUCACAACAAUAUAACUUCAGUUCUAGCCUAUGAGGAAUCACUCCCGGUUUUGAUAGCAUCAGUUGUACAAUAUUAAAAAAUCUACCUGUCCAUCAAUAUGGAAGAGGCUUUCGACAGAGUAGGAACCCAUUGCAUUAUUGAACAACUCUGAAUGGAAACUAGGUUACCUUGGAAACAGAAGAUUCUGAGUACAAGUAAACAACACCUUAUCAGAAGAAAAAGGACUACACAACGGCAUCCCCAAAGAAUACCCGCUGUCAGUGACUCUUUUUCGUAAUCGCUUUUAAUAAAAUAAAUAUAAUAAGCCAGCACAAAUUUUUUACCCACACGAUGUAUCCUGAUAUCCUGACGAUCUCUGUCUUAUUUUCAAUCAAAAGCUGGGCUAUAAUAGAGAAUUAAGCAACAUGCAGAACACAUAAACUUUACUGGCACAAAAAUAUCCAGCGGAAAAUCUUUGCACCUAAAAAACCACAGAUGUAAAUUUAUAGAAAUUAAAAUAAAUGAAAUAAUGAAUCCAACAUUAGUAAAAUCAAACUCAUGUGGACACCGGGAAAUGAAGGAAUCAGAGGAACAUUAACAACAAAUAGGAAAUACGCUAUCAACUACACCAGAUUUAAAUAAGGAAACACAAAAUUUGAUCACGAGCGCCUAUUUAACAAAUUCUUACCGCCGCUUUGUCUAUAUUGCAAUACAAACACAAUUACCAUUGAUACCAUACCAAUUAC